rnacentral:rRNA from 1 species
ACCCUGACGCAGCAAUGCCGCGUGAGUGAGGAAGGCCUUCGGGUUGUAAAGCGCUGUCAGAUAGGAANAACGGNCAUUGGUCCAAUANGCCUUUGAUUNGACGGUNCUAUCAAAGGAAGCACCGGUUAACUUCGNGCCAGCAGCCGCGGUANUACGAAGGGUGCANGCGUUGUUCGGAUUUACUGGGCGUAAAGCGCGCGCAGGCGGAUUGGUAAGUCANAUGUGAAAUCUCGGGGNUCAACCCCGAAACUGCUUCUGAAACUAUCAAUCUAGAGUCUCGGANAGGGAAGGGGAAUUUCCAUGUAGGGGUAAAAUCCGUANAGAUGCGAAGGAACACCANAGGCGAAGGCGCCUUCCUGGACNAGUNCUGACNCUGAGGCNCNAAAGCGUGGGGAGCAAACAGGAUUAGAUNCCCUGGUAGUCCACGCCGUAAACGAUGAGCACUAGAUAUAGGGAUGUUGACCGUCUCUGUGUCGCANNUAACGCAUUAAGUGCUCCGCCUGGGGAGUACGGUCGCAAGACUAAAACUCAAAGGAUGC